rnacentral:rRNA from 1 species
UACGGAGGGUGCGAGCGUUGUUCGGAAUUACUGGGCGUAAAGCGCGUGUAGGCGGCCUGCUAAGUCUGAUGUGAAAGCCCGGGGCUCACCCCCGGAAGUGCAUUGGAAACUGGUAGGCUCGAGUCCCGGAGAGGAGGGUGGAAUUCCUGGUGUAGCGGUGGAAUGCGCAGAUAUCAGGAGGAACACCGAUGGCGAAGGCAGGUCACUGGGCCGCAACUGACGCUGAGGAGCGAAAGCAUGGGGAGCGAACAGG